CCGAGCUGCAUGUCCCAUACGACAGAUUGGGGUCAGAGCAAAGGACCGAGUCUGCUGUUGAGAGUUUCUCUCAGACAGGAAGGGAAGUAGAAACGACAUGAAGCCACGGAGAAGAUGGACGUAGUGAACGUGAGACAGAACAGGAGAUCAGUGUCAUUGCAGAGAACCCAAGUGAUGAACACAAGCCGGCUGCAUCAGACGUGAACACAGCUGAUGGAGGCAGACCCAUUGCAAACAUGAAGAUGUGAUCUAUACAAUAAAAGACUUGUUUGUCUCUACCUUAGAAAAUACCAAAGCAAAGUACUGUACAUAAUUUCUAUACUCGCUGGGUAGCCUCCAACCUGAUCAUGAACAUUGAACAUUGAAUGGCAUGAACAUUGAUUUCUCUAGCUUCUGGUGCUGCCCAUUUUCUGAGCUCCUAUGUGUGUGUUACUGAAGAUUUCCAGCAUCUGCAAAAUCUC